AGCAGGAUUUCAGUGCAAAUUUCUCCCAAUAAGCACAUUUUCCCCCCUAUGCAAUGUUGUCUUAACAGGCACAUUUUUGCCAACCAGCUUUCCCUAAUAUGUAUUUUUGUCUGCUAUAUCCACCAAGAUGCAUUUUUACCGCAGACAUUACAUAGGGUUGCCAAAAAAAAACAACAAAAAAACCCCACCCAGAAGUUAUUGAGCGAUUUUUUAAGGAAAAUCACCCAAAACAGCACUGCCAACAUGGCUUGCCAUACAUCCAGAUUUUCCUGGAUAUUUUAGCGAUUUUCACCCAGAAACUGCCUCCAACUGCAGUUUUCAGGCUAUAUCCGGGAAAUUCCAGACGUAUGGCAACCCUAACAUUACCCUAAUAAUCUGCAUUUAGUUCACAUUACUUGGCUGUGUUUUGGUUUGUUCUGAUCGACCUGCCUGAGGCUACCCAUUAGGCAGAAAGAGACGGUCCUGUAGGGGCUGCUGAACUUUCCACUCAACCCCUCCCCACCCAUUUUUUUCCCCUGUGGGGAAGGAAGACAACCUCCACUUUAAAGCUGGCCAGGACCCCACCAAAAUCAGAAGGCAGAAGUUUCAGGUUUGCAUUUCCCCACCCUUCGUAUGCAAAUACCCAUUGCUGUGCUCUGAUAUAACGAUGCAGAAUCCUGCAGGGCACCGCAUAGCAGAAGCACUUAGGUGAUUAGGAGGAAGAUUCAUGGGGUCCAGCUACAGAUCAUCAAAGUGCCAUCUCCUGGUCUCUGAAAGGCUUCCUGCCGGCAUCCGAGCCUUCAUCAGCAGACGAUGCCCCAUUUGCAAACACUUUUCUGCAGCCACGAGGACUAGUGGCCCUUUUGAAAAAUGAAAGCUGAGGUGCCUCUGGCACCAUGAGUGCGCAUACUUGCCGACCUAACCAUGCUUCAGUGGAGCUUGAGUAUGCUUUGUGUGGUUUCCAGAUGCAGCCCUGUUUUUAAUUUUCCACUAAUUAGCCAAUUAAGCCUGCUCAUAAUCUUGUCUCCUCGCUGGAGUCUCUAGGAUUCCUUCCAUCACCACACAGUUUUCCGGGACCCAGCCCAGCUUUGAAACAAUAUCUCUCCCCCCCCCCUUUACAACCUCCUUUCUGGGUAUGGCCUCCCUGAAGAACAGGCUUUCCCAAACAGAUCUCCAGCUGUUUUUGGACUCUCAUCCCUGACCACUGGUCCUGCUAGCUAGGGAUGAUGGGAGAUGUAGUCCCCAAACAGCUGGUGACUUAAGUUUGGGAAACUCGCCUGAAGAAGGAUGGUUAAGUGGCUUGAAGAUAGCUUGAGGAACAUCAUGGCCCAUCCUUAGGGAGCUCAGGGCUACUUAGCAACAGGUCUUCCUUGCCCACAAUUUCUUCCACUUUGGGCCUAGUUCCUCAUUUCCUUAAAUCCAACAUGGAGGCAAAACUUCCUUGAGGUUUGUUUGGGAAAAGCUUGUCUUGGUUUUCUCCUACAAUAUCUUUGCCACCUUGCCAACGUGGACUCCUUUGUCCCCACCUCAGGCUCAGCCUCUUACUUUGCUAGGGACAGAAGGAAGCAGGCCCCUAUUAGUUUGAGACACACACCCCAAAUAAAUGCUGAGCAGCCAUAUAUUGCAACCAACCUACUAGACCUUUGAUAAGGCAAAAAGAUGGAAGGCAAGAGUUAUCAAAUUCCUGGCAACUAUAUAUAGUAGGUAGGCCCUGUUCAGCUUGGUGAGUCAUAAGGCCUAGAAGGAAGCACUUUGCUGUUGCUAUGCAACCGCAAGACAUCGGCCUCUGCCUUCAAGGGUCAGCGUAGACAAUGCCAAUCUGGUCUAUCAUGCUUCUUCAUGCCUCUGUGUGGGAACAGCCUGUCCAAAUUACUGUACACUAUGUCUUACAUGCAGGAAGUUCGUCCUAUGUACAUAGUUCAGAAAUGUGUGAUCGGUUCUCAGAGCUUAUCUGAGAAGCGGCUGCUCCCUUUUGGCACAUGUGCAUAGGAUUUUUCAUGUGUAAAUGCAGCCAUAUACAGAAGGGUCGCGGGUGGCAAGCACGACAAGGAGAAGUCUGGACAAGCCAGUGGGAACUGCCCGGCAAGUCCUGCCAUUGCCUAGGUCUGUGACAUGGUUUCCCCAUCAGUCCCUCCAUCUUGCAAAAUGGCCCACUGGACAAAGACCUGCUGCCACAACAAUGAGUCCCCUUCAAGGAAAGGUACAAGAAUCACAAAGAUGUUCUCUACCCUAUUCUUAACAGUAUGGUUUGCUAUAUAGGGCAGGGACCUUAAAAUGAAACUAAGACAUCCGCAUACAGCCGGGAUGGAGAAACCUGUGGUCCUCCAAUUGGUGUUGGACUACAACUCCCAUCAUCCCUGACCAUGUGCUGUGCAGGAUGGGCUGAUGGAAGUUGGAGUCCGACAACAUCUGGAGGUCUCCAUUCUUGGCAUGCAGGCAUAAAUAGUUACCAAGAAGAGUGAAACUCGCACACAACUUGCGUACCUGUUUUUCAUUGUAUGGUUUAGUGAACAUGUUUUCUUUAUUAAAGAUACCUUCUUUCUCUUGCUCCCAGGGAGAGAGAGGGAGAGGGAGCUAUAGACCAGACUCUUAUUUUCUGCCGUUGCACAAACAUUGUAAUUUGGAAUCGUGUUGAAUUCAACAGCCUGGAUUUCUGUUUGUUUUGUUUUGCAUUUGUUGUUGUUUAGUUUCUAAUCCUCAAGGCUGUGGAGGUGGACUUGCUAGCAGAAGGUUUGUGCCAUUCAAAAUCCUCAGAAGUUGGGCAAGGGCUUCUACUUGUCAGUUUUUUUAGUGCAGGUCCUUGUCUACGAAUGAUUAGGAGAAGCAUUAUCUGUGCUGUAGAAUGAAAGCAAAUGUGUCUAUCAGGUCACAGAAGGGUGCAGGAAUGUGGGUUACCUAGAUGUAGAAUAUGAACUUUUUAAACAACUAAUGAUUUCCUCUUCCCAGAAUAUUGGACCCUGUCUUCUGCUUGCAUGAAAAAGGUGGAGCCCAUCUUAACACUGAAGCACAAAGUUCUUGAAAUGGUCUUGUAGCUGUGCCUUCACUCUCUGUUCCAUAAAGUGUGCUGAUUUUAGGUUAUAAUGCUGGUUUCUUGUGUGUUAAGAUGAUGUAUGGGGAUUGCAACCUGAACCUUUGGCUUGAACUCUGUCACAACAAACAGAUUCGUGUGCACCAGCAAUUCCACCAUUCCACCUCAGGCAUCAACACUUCCUGAGCCAGCCCUCCACCCCCGUUUCUGAGGUCAGGAAUUUGCAAACUUGACUACCUGAAGCAGACAACUUUCAGCUCUACCUGAGAUAGAAGAGGCAGGCGUGCGACACACAUUUUACCCCUUCCGUUCUCCCUCAUGCUUGCCCAUCUUGCAACGACAGCAUCUUCCAUUAAUACAGAAGCUUGCAUGCGUCAUGUUCCUUUGCGUGUCCCUCGAACAAACCACAGCUCAGGAAUAAUAACCCCCUAGUCCUUGUGCUUGCAAAGGAAAGUUUGAGAAAGGGCAGAGAAGAAGUGAGUGUGAUGGGGAAACACUGAAGCCCCCUGAGAAUGUGGCUUUGUCUCAGCGCAGGAAGUUGAGGGCUUCACAUGGGUACUCUGGUUGCAUAAACCAAAUAUAACUUGCAGGCCCCAGAGUGGGAGUUCAGCAAGCUCUAGGCCAGGGAUAGGGAACUCGUAGUCCUUAAGAUGUUGUUGGACUCUGGUUGGCAUCCAUGCCAGCCAGAAGAGCCAAUGGUCAGGGAUGCUGGGGGUUGUCAUUUGGUUAAGUCUGGAGGACUACAGGGUCUCCAUCCAUGUGCUAAGCUGAUUUCAAUCAUAGGGCUUUAAAGGUCCUGGCUAAGGCCAGUGGGAGUUUUCCCCAUGGAUAUUAAACACCUGAACCUCUGCAGGUUCUUCUGGGCUUCCUGUCCCCACCUCUUUCCUCCACAUGGUGCCUUUAUUUGGUGCUUUGCCAAGCCGCUGGGCAUCUCAGUUUGUGGUGUGCCUCAGCUCCUGGAGCAGGGAUGGUCAGCCCUCAGUCUAAUUUCAUGCGAGCAGCAAGGAAGGCAGAGAAGCGGGUGGCAGAGAGAGAGAGAAGCUGGCAGGAAACAAAGGAGCAGGGGGGACAGUUCCCGCCUGUUCUGAUUCUGCUGUAGGCCACCCACCCCACCCUGACAAAAAAUGGGUUUCCCACUCCAGUGCUGGAGCACAGCCUUGGUUUGGUUUCAGGGUGAGAUAGAGCACCGAUAACCUCAUUUCCUCCCUUAAGGAAGCACUGCUGUCUAAGCCUGCCCAUCAAUUGCUCCUGAGUCAAAGGGCUGCUCGCGUGAGCCUGCCGGUGCAUCCUUCCACAUUGACUGUGGCACAGGCUAGAUCCCAGAUCUUCAGUCCCAAACCUGCUUAGCUGUUCUUAUUUUAUCUGUAAGCCGCCUUGAGUCACUGUCGGGGAAAAGGUGGGGUAUAAAUAAUAUAUAAAAGCGAUAAUAAACCUCGGAACCUCAUCCUGUCUGGCAACUGCUACAUGGCAGAGUAAACUGAGUUUCCCCUUUGGCCUUGGGAAAGGGCCUUAGCUCAGAGCUAGAGCAGCUGCCCUGCAUGCAGAAUGUCCAGGGUUCAAGCCCUGGCAAUACCUCUGGAUCGGACUGGGAGAGAACCCCUUCCUGAAAUCCUGGAGAAAGCUGCUGCCAGCCAGUGUUGACAAUAAUGAGUUUGAUGGACCAGUCGUGACUCAGUAUAUAUGUUCUGGUGUCCCUUCUUCCGCUGCCUCUGAGGCAUCCCAAGUUGCCUGUCGGCUUUCCCUCCUCAAUCUCCUCUUGUCUGUCUUUCAGACGCCUCUUCCACAGGCAGCUACUCUUGUGCUGGUUCUCCCUUAAGUAGUUCUCUCUGUAAGGGCUUCUGAGAACAUCCAAGGCAGGAAUCUAUGUGGCAUGGGUCUCUGGGGGCAGCCUGGCUUUCGUUUUUGGUAACCUGAGACAUGGAAAAAAGAUGGGGAAACUCCACAUUGUGACAAUCAAGCAACAACGCUGUGAGUCACGGAAAGUGGUUUGGUUGCUUUGCUUUAAAAAGAAAAGGAAAGCAAGUGUCAGACCCUCCUGGACUGCAGAGACAUGCAAGGGCUUCAUUUUUAAUUUUUUGCUAAGAGUCUUGGAAACUUGGGGGGAGGGAUGGGAGCAAAAGGAGCUACUUUAAUACUUAGCGGCCGGGAGUCGCAACUUUCCAGCAGUUCCAUGCACCUCCCGCAACGUUUUGCCACUAUCAUUUUAUCGUGCCUCAUUUCCAUCUUUGGUAAUUCUCCAAGGCCAAAUUUUUCCUUUCGCUCUCGUGUACGUUAUUUCUUAAUAGUAAAAAAACAUAGAGGCAAUGCAACACAAGGUCUCCAUCCAUUUUGCAGAUUGGUGCUAAAAUCAGGUUUUUAUUACAGCGGGCAAGGGGUGUGCCUUGUUAAUACCUGAUCCUUCCAUUUGUCUUGCCAGCACCUAUUUCCGCUUCCUGUUACUUCUCAGGAUAGGCAUCCAACCAGGAUACUUGUAGUACCCGUGGAUCCCUGACUGAUACUAUCAGAGGCUUACCUGCAGCCCUCCAAGGUGCAGUGGACAGGGAUGGAGGUCAGCAGGUGAGCUGGCCUGUGCCAUCUACUCGUGCCCUGCUCCUGUUGCAUUAUGAGGGCUCUCACACGCUUUUUGCAGGCCACCUGCUCACUGCCCUCCCCACCUCCCCUCUCCCCAUCCCAAGAUGGUUCUGCCCUCCCGCUGCCCCCACCAGCUGCAAUAGCUUGGCUUGCACCGAGUUUGGCUUCAGUGACUAUUGGAAGUUGUCUGUGCAGAGCUGUCGCACCCUUGCUGGUUCUCGUGUACUGUAUCUGCAACUUUUAUAUAUCGGUACAUAUACAUAUAUAUAUAUCUAAGUAUAUAUAUUGAGAUGUAUUUAAUGUUGAAGAAGGGGGGGAAACAAAAGAAAAGGUGCAGUUGCAUUUGUAGAAAUAUUUUUUAAAGAAAUGCUUUUUUCAAUUAAAUUAUUUAAGAAAUUUGCGG